UUUCUUUGCGGUGAUCUUGUGAUAUGUUGCUUUCAUGAUAUUUACAAUGUGCAGCUUGCUCCAAGGCGCCUAGAAAAGUGUCCUUUUGUUCUUUUCCCUUUAACAAACAGUAUAUUAAAAUUACUAUGGAAAAAAUUUGGGUACAUUUUAGAAUUAAAAUUACUUUUUUCCCCAUGUGAGGUAUUACUGGAAUUUUGCUGAAUGGAAUAAUUAGCACCUUAUUUUGAAUGACGUAUUCCGGUGAAACAAUUAAGGGAACCUGCACUGUCAUUAAGUUAUACUGUGUUUUUUAGGGAUAAAAAAAUGUUUUUUUGUCACAAUGAUUCAAUCAGAAUUUUGCUGCAAUUUU
rnacentral:misc_RNA from 1 species